UACGAAGGGGGCUAGCGUUGCUCGGAAUCACUGGGCGUAAAGCGCACGUAGGCGGACUCUUAAGUCGGGGGUGAAAUCCUGGAGCUCAACUCCAGAACUGCCUUCGAUACUGGGAGUCUUGAGUAUGGCAGAGGUGUGUGGAACUCCGAGUGUAGAGGUGAAAUUCGUAGAUAUUCGGAAGAACACCAGUGGCGAAGGCGACACACUGGGCCAUUACUGACGCUGAGGCGCGAAAGCGUGGGGAGCAAACAGG
rnacentral:rRNA from 1 species